UUCGGAUCGGAGUCUGNAACCCGACUCCGUGAAGCUGGAUUCGCUAGUAAUCGCGCAUCAGCCAUGGCGCGGUGAAUACGUUCCCGGGCCUUGUACACACCGCCCGUCAAGCCAUGGAAGCCGGGGGUGCCUGAAGUGUGCAGCCGCAAGGAGCGCCCUAAGGUAAAACCGGUGACUGGGGCUAAGUCGUAACAAGGUAAC
rnacentral:rRNA from 1 species